AGUGAACGCUGGCGGUAGGCCUAACACAUGCAAGUCGAACGGCAGCACCGUAAGAGCUUGCUCUUACGGGUGGCGAGUGGCGGACGGGUGAGGAAUACAUCGGACUCUACUUUUUCGUGGGGGAUAACGUAGGGAAACCUACGCUAAUACCGCAUACGACCUACGGGUGAAAGCAGGGGAUCUUCGGACCUUGCGCGAUUGAAUGAGCCGAUGUCGGAUUAGCUAGUUGGCGGGGUAAAGGCCCACCCAGGCGACGAUCCGUAGCUGGUCUGAGAGGAUAAUCGGCCACACUGGAACGGGGACACGGUCCAGGCGCCUACGAGAGGCAGCAGAGGGGAAUAUUGGGCAAUGGGCGGAAGCCUGGUCCAGCGGGAGCGCGUGGGUGAAGAAGGCCUUCGGGUUGUAAAGCCCUUUUGUUGGGAAAGAAAAGCAGCAGGUUAAUACCCCGCGGUAGUGACGGUACCCAAAGAAGAAGCACCGGCUAACUUCGUG
rnacentral:rRNA from 1 species